rnacentral:rRNA from 1 species
CGUAUGCAACCUACCUUCAACUGGGGGAUAGCCUUCCGAAAGGGAGAUUAAUACCGCAUAAAAUAAUUGAGUGGCAUCACUUGAUUAUCAAACGUCAGGGUUGAAGAUGGGCAUGCGUCCGAUUAGUUUGUUGGUGAGGUAACGGCUCACCAAGACUACGAUCGGUAGGGGAUCUGAGAGGAUGGCCCCCCACACUGGUACUGAGACACGGACCAGACUCCUACGGGAGGCAGCAGUAAGGAAUAUUGGUCAAUGGACGGAAGUCUGAACCAGCCAUGCCGCGUGCAGGAAGACGGUCCUCUGGAUUGUAAACUGCUUUUGUUAGGGAAGAAACUUCCGUACGUGUACGGGACUGACGGUACCUAAAGAAUAAGGAUCGGCUAACUCCGUGCCAGCAGCCGCGGUAAUACGGAGGAUCCAAGCGUUAUCCGGAUUUAUUGGGUUUAAAGGGUGCGUAGGCGGCGUUGUAAGUCAGUGGUGAAAGUUUGCAGCUUAACUGUAAAAUUGCCAUUGAUACUGCAGUGCUUGAGUAUAGAUGAGGUGGGCGGAAUGUGUCAUGUAGCGGUGAAAUGCAUAGAUAUGACACAGAACACCGAUUGCGAAGGCAGCUCACUAAACUAUAACUGACGCUGAGGCACGAAAGCGUGGGGAUCAAACAGGAUUAGAUACCCUGGUAGUCCACGCCCUAAACGAUGAUUACUCGAUGUUAGCGAUACACUGUUAGCGUCAAAGCGAAAGCGUUAAGUAAUCCACCUGGGGAGUACGCCCGCAAGGGUGAAACUCAAAGGAAUUGACGGGGG